AGUGAACGCUGGCGGUAGGCCUAACACAUGCAAGUCGAACGGCAGCACAGUAAGAGCUUGCUCUUACGGGUGGCGAGUGGCGGACGGGUGAGGAAUACAUCGGAAUCUACUUUUUCGUGGGGGAUAACGUAGGGAAACUUACGCUAAUACCGCAUACGACCUACGGGUGAAAGCAGGGGAUCUUCGGACCUUGCGCGAUUGAAUGAGCCGAUGUCGGAUUAGCUAGUUGGCGGGGUAAAGGCCCACCAAGGCGACGAUCCGUAGCUGGUCUGAGAGGAUGAUCAGCCACACUGGAACUGAGACACGGUCCAGACUCCUACGGGAGGCAGCAGUGGGGAAUAUUGGACAAUGGGCGCAAGCCUGAUCCAGCCAUACCGCGUGGGUGAAGAAGGCCUUCGGGUUGUAAAGCCCUUUUGUUGGGAAAGAAAAUCAGCAGGUUAAUACCCCGCUGUUCUGACGGUACCCAAAGAAUAAGCACCGGCGAACUUCGU
rnacentral:rRNA from 1 species